CCUACGGGUGGCAGCAGUGGGGAAUAUUGGGCAAUGGGCGCCAGCCUGACCCAGCAACGCCGCGUGAAGGAAGAAGGUUUUCGGGUUGUAAACUUUUUUUCUCAGGGACGCAGCAUGUGACGGUACCUGCGGCAUAAGCCACGGCUACCUACGUGCUCGCAGCCGCGGUAAUCCGUAGGUGGCAAGCGUUCUCCGGAUUUACUGGGUGUAAAGGGUGUGUAGGCGGGAAAGCAAGUCAGAUGUGAAAACCAUGGGCUCAACCUGUGGCCUGCAUUUGAAACUGUUUUUCUUGAGUACUGGAGAGGCAGACGGAAUUCGUAGUGUAGCGGUGAAAUGCGUAGAUAUUAGGAGGAACACCAGUGGCGAAGGCGGUCUGCUGGACAGCAACUGACGCUGAGGCGCGAAAGCGUGGGUAGCGAACAGGAUUAGAUACCCGUGUAGUC
rnacentral:rRNA from 1 species